AGAGUUUGAUCCUGGCUCAGCCUGAACGCUGGCGGCGUGGUUAAGACAUGCAAGUCGCACGGGUGUAGCAAUACAUCAGUGGCGAACGGGUGAGUAAUGAAUCGCUAAUGUACCCCGGACUCUGGGAUAGCUAGCCGAAAGGUUAGGUAAUACCAGAUGACAUAUUCCUACCGCAUGGUUGGGAAUCUCAAAGGUCCGCCGGUCUGGGAGCAGGCGAUUUCGUAUCAGCUAGUUGGUGAGGUAACGGCUCACCAAGGCGACGACGCGUAGCCGGACUGAGAGGUUGGCCGGCCACAUCGGGACUGAGACACUGCCCGGACUCCUACGGGGGGCUGCAGUAACGAAUCUUCCCCAAUGCACGAAAGUGUGAGGGAGCGACGCCGCGUGUGGGACGAAGUCCUUCGGGAUGUAAACCACUGUCAGGGGAUACCAAGUUCUGAGGAUCCCCAGAGGAAGAGGCGGCUAACUCUGUGCCAGCAGCCGCGGUAAGACAGAGGCCUCAAGCGUUAGGCGGAAUCACUGGGCUUAAAGCGUGUGUAGGCGGGUCGUUAAGUACCUUGUGAAAUCCCACGGCUCACCCGUGGAACUGCUGGGUAUACUGGCGAUCUUGGGCCAACUAGGGGCAACUGGAACAAACGGUGGAGCGGUGAAAUGCGUAGAUAUCGUUUGGAACGCCAAAGGUGAAAACAGGUUGCUGGGGUUGUGCCGACGCUGAGACACGAAAGCCAGGGGAGCAAACGGGAUUAGAUACCCUAGUAGUCC
rnacentral:rRNA from 1 species